rnacentral:rRNA from 1 species
CCCCGUGAACCUUUACUAUAGCUUGACACUGAACAUUGAGCCUUGAUGUGUAGGAUAGGUGGGAGGCUUUGAAGUGUGGACGCCAGUCUGCAUGGAGCCGACCUUGAAAUACCACCCUUUAAUGUUUGAUGUUCUAACGUGGACCCGUGAUCCGGGUUGCGGACAGUGUCUGGUGGGUAGUUUGACUGGGGCGGUCUCCUCCUAAAGAGUAACGGAGGAGCACGAAGGUUGGCUAAUCCUGGUCGGACAUCAGGAGGUUAGUGCAAUGGCAUAAGCCAGCUUGACUGCGAGCGUGACGGCGCGAGCAGGUGCGAAAGCAGGUCAUAGUGAUCCGGUGGUUCUGAAUGGAAGGGCCAUCGCUCAACGGAUAAAAGGUACUCCGGGGAUAACAGGCUGAUACCGCCCAAGAGUUCAUAUCGACGGCGGUGUUUGGCACCUCGAUGUCGGCUCAUCACAUCCUGGGGCUGAAGUAGGUUCCAAGGGUAUGGCUGUUCGCCAUUUAAAGUGGUACGCGAGCUGGGUUUAGAACGUCGUGAGACAGUUCGGUCCCUAUCUGCCGUGGGCGCUGGAGAACUGAGGGGGGCUGCUCCUAGUACGAGAGGACCGGAGUGGACGCAUCACUGGUGUUCGGGUUGUCAUGCCAAUGGCACUGCCCGGUAGCUAAAUGCGGAAGAGAUAAGUGCUGAAAGCAUCUAAGCACGAAACUUGCCCCGAGAUGAGUUCUCCCUGAGACUUUAGGUCUCCUGAAGGAACGUUGAAGACGACGACGUUGAUAGGCCGGGUGUGUAAGCGCAGCGAUGCGUUGAGCUAACCGGUACUAAUGAACCGUGAGGCUUAACCUU